rnacentral:misc_RNA from 1 species
CGAGUGAGGGCCCUUUGGGUCCAACCUCCCACCCGUGUUUAUUUACCUCGUUGCUUCGGCGGGCCCGCCUUAACUGGCCGCCGGGGGGCUCACGCCCCCGGGCCCGCGCCCGCCGAAGACACCCCCGAACUCUGCCUGAAGAUUGUCGUCUGAGUGAAAAUAUAAAUUAUUUAAAACUUUCAACAACGGAUCUCUUGGUUCCGGCAUCGAUGAAGAACGCAGCGAAAUGCGAUACGUAAUGUGAAUUGCAAAUUCAGUGAAUCAUCGAGUCUUUGAACGCACAUUGCGCCCCCUGGUAUUCCGGGGGGCAUGCCUGUCCGAGCGUCAUUGCUGCCCUCAAGCCCGGCUUGUGUGUUGGGCCCCGUCCUCCGAUUCCGGGGGACGGGCCCGAAAGGCAGCGGCGGCACCGCGUCCGGUCCUCGAGCGUAUGGGGCUUUGUCACCCGCUCUGUAGGCCCGGCCGGCGCUUGCCGAUCAACCCAAAUUUUUAUCCAGGUUGACCUCGGAUCAGGUAGGGAUACCCGCUGAACUUAAGCAUAUC